rnacentral:rRNA from 1 species
UUCCAGGAAAAGCCUCUAAGCUUCAGAUUGUAAGGAAUCGUACCCCAAACCGACACAGGUGGUCGGGUAGAGAAUACCAAGGCGCUUGAGAGAACUCGGGUGAAGGAACUAGGCAAAAUGGUACCGUAACUUCGGGAGAAGGUACGCUCUUGAUGGUGAAGUCCCUCGCGGAUGGAGCUGAUGAGAGUCGCAGAUACCAGGUGGCUGCAACUGUUUAUUAAAAACACAGCACUGUGCAAAAUCGUAAGAUGACGUAUACGGUGUGACGCCUGCCCGGUGCCGGAAGGUUAAUUGAUGGGGUUAGCGUAAGCGAAGCUCUUGAUCGAAGCCCCGGUAAACGGCGGCCGUAACUAUAACGGUCCUAAGGUAGCGAAAUUCCUUGUCGGGUAAGUUCCGACCUGCACGAAUGGCGUAAUGAUGGCCACGCUGUCUCCACCCGAGACUCAGUGAAAUUGAAAUCGCUGUGAAGAUGCAGUGUACCCGCGGCUAGACGGAAAGACCCCGUGAACCUUUACUACAGCUUGGCACUGAACAUUGAACCUACAUGUGUAGGAUAGGUGGGAGGCUUUGAAGACGUGACGCUAGUUGCGUUGGAGCCGUCCUUGAAAUACCACCCUUGUAUGUUUGAUGUUCUAACUUAGCCCCGUUAUCCGGGGUGAGGACAGUGCCUGGUGGGUAGUUUGACUGGGGCGGUCUCCUCCCAAAGAGUAACGGAGGAGCACGAAGGUGGGCUAAUCACGGUUGGACAUCGUGAGGUUAGUGCAAUGGCAUAAGCCCGCUUAACUGCGAGAAUGACGGUUCGAGCAGGUGCGAAAGCAGGUCAUAGUGAUCCGGUGGUUCUGUAUGGAAGGGCCAUCGCUCAACGGAUAAAAGGUACUCCGGGGAUAACAGGCUGAUACCGCCCAAGAGUUCAUAUCGACGGCGGUGUUUGGCACCUCGAUGUCGGCUCAUCACAUCCUGGGGCUGAAGUCGGUCCCAAGGGUAUGGCUGUUCGCCAUUUAAAGUGGUACGCGAGCUGGGUUUAGAACGUCGUGAGACAGUUCGGUCCCUAUCUGCCGUGGGCGUUGGAAGAUUGAAGGGGGCUGCUCCUAGUACGAGAGGACCGGAGUGGACGAACCUCUGGUGUUCGGGUUGUGUCGCCAGACGCAUUGCCCGGUAGCUAAGUUCGGAAUCGAUAACCGCUGAAAGCAUCUAAGCGGGAAGCGAGCCCUGAGAUGAGUCUUCCCUGACAGUUUAACUGUCCUAAAGGGUUGUUCGAGACUAGAACGUUGAUAGGCAGGGUGUGUAAGCGUUGUGAGGCGUUGAGCUAACCUGUACUAAUUGCCCGUGAGGCUUAACCAU